rnacentral:antisense_RNA from 1 species
CGGGCCGUGUACUCCCAGAUGGCGUCGGCGUCGAGCAGCGCCCGCUCGCCCAGGUACGCGCCGUCGGCGAGGACCCCGAGGGACUCGUCCUCCCCGUACGGGCCGGUGCCGAGCUUCUCCACCCUGCCGUGCGCCAGCAGGAGGACCUCGUCGGUCGGGCUGCCGAACUCGGCGAUCACGUCACCGGGGCCGAACUCACGCUGCUCGCAGCGCCGGGCGAGCUCGGUGAGCACCUCCUCGUCCUCGUACGACCGCAGUGCGGGCAGUUCGCACAGUUCGGCGGGGAUCACCUCCACGCGGUCGCCGGUCUUCACGAACGUCACCCGGCCGUCCCCGACCGCGUAGGACAGUCGCCGGUUGACCCGGUACGUACCGCCCUGCACGUUCACCCAGGGCAGCAUGCGGAGCAGCCAGCGGGAGCUGAUCUCCUGCAUCUGAGGUGCGGACUUGGUGGUGGUGGCCAGGUUCCGCGCGGCCGCCGUGCCGAGACUCUGCUGCGGCCGUUCCUG